rfam:Methanobrevibacter sp. AbM4, complete genome.
AGUUCCUUAGUGUAAUGGCAAUCAUACGAGACCCUGGAUCUUGUGAUGGCGGUUCGACUCCGCCAGGAACUA